rnacentral:rRNA from 1 species
AAGGAUCAUUACUGAAGGAAAAGAGUAGCAAAGAUUGUCGCUGGCUCGAAAGAGCAUGUGCACGCCUUUUGCUGCUUGAUUUCAUUCUAUUUCCACCUGUGCACCCUUUGUAGACACUUGGGGAAUGAGGUCUUGAUACCAAAAAGUUCUCUGGGUGUCUAUGUACUUUUUUUGAUACACACAGUUGAAUGUCUAUAGAAUGAGAUUGUAGGCUUUUUUGAUAGCCUUUAAAUGAUAAAAUACAACUUUCAACAACGGAUCUCUUGGCUCUCGCAUCGAUGAAGAACGCAGCGAAAUGCGAUAAGUAAUGUGAAUUGCAGAAUUCAGUGAAUCAUCGAAUCUUUGAACGCAUCUUGCGCUCCUUGGUAUUCCGAGGAGCAUGCCUGUUUGAGUGUCAUUAAGUAUCUCAAAAAACAAUUAUGCCUUUGGCAUAGGUUUUUUGGACAUUGGGAGUUGCCGGCUACUGAUGAAAAAAAGUGGUGGGCUCAUCUGAAAAGCAUUAGUUGAGGAGCUUUGCACUCUAUUGGUGUGAUAUACUAUCUAUGCCAGGAGAUGCUUUAUGGGAACCUCUGCUGUCUAACUGUCUUUAUCGGACAAUGUGAUGAACUUGACCUCAAAUCAGGUAGGACUACCCGCUGAACUUAA